UAUCUUCAAAACCAGAUUUCUGAACAAUUUCUAAUUCAGUACUUUUAUGAAAGGUUGUUACCUAUGUAAAAAAAUUAUUGGAUGCUUCUAGUGGAGGAGAAAUUGUUGAUAAGACCCCAGUUGCAUCUAAGACCUUAAUUGAAAACAUGUUACUCAACUCACAAUAAUUCACAACUAGAAACAAUUUUGUGGUUCUAACAAAAGGAGUGCAUGAAAUUCAAGCUUCUUCUUCCAACA
rnacentral:lncRNA from 1 species